UAGCUGUCCACUUUUGUUGGAGCAAAGAUCCACCAUCAGAUCAUUAAGAAGCCAAGGACAAUAUGGAGAACGGCAAGAGAAGGAGGUCUUGUCAUCUUCGCUGGGGAUACAGAAGGCUGGAGAAUCCUGUGACCUGCAAGAGAUGGAAGGAGAGACUCCAGAUGCAAGCAAACUGACAUCGUUUUGGAGCCUUCAAGAGGAUGGGCAGAGCUAAGGGAGAGGGUGGUGUUAUUCUGGGACUUAGGUGAAUUCUCCUUGAAAUCACCCUUCGUUCUGGAUGAAUGUCUGAAAACAAUUCAUUUCUCAUGGAAUGAGAUAACUGAAACAACAGGAGGA